AAGAAGAUACUGGGACUCUGCUCUUCUUUGCUCUUCCUCUUCCGGCUGAAGGGGAGAGACCUCGCCUCGCCAUGCACUCCGGUGGUGAUGUAUCAGAGUCGAGCUUGCUAUGGUGUCCAGGGGCAGAACCACUAUGUGCCACCACGGUCGAGGCCACUGCAUGGGAACCUUCGCAUACCGAGUAGGGCACAUGUGGUGAGGCGUGGGAAGCAGUUACGGUGCAGCAGAAGCAGACCCAACAGCUCCAUGGAGUCUUCUCUCGGGCCAAGCGCAGCUUCUGUGCUGGAGCUGAGUCCUGGGAAGAUGGAGGACAUUGAGGCUCUCGGGAAUCAAGGCCGAUAUUACUGUGCCGCUAAUUUUUCAUUUGAAAAAGGCAGUCUGGUGUGUUCACUAAUAUGUUGUGUGGAAGAAAGGUAUAAAUGUUUUUGUAUGUAGUAACAAAA